rnacentral:rRNA from 1 species
UGUCUUAAUGAGGACUAGUAUGAACGGCACCACGAAGGUUAUACUGUCUCCUUUUUCUAAUCAGUGAAACUAAUCUCCCCGUGAAGAAGCGGGGAUAAGAAUAUAAGACGAGAAGACCCUAUGGAGCUUUAAACUAAGUAACACCUGCUUUUAAACAUUUUUAACUUCCGAGUACUCAACAAUAAUUUUAGCUUGCUGAUUACUAGUUUUAGGUUGGGGUGACCGCGGAGCAUAAAACAACCUCCGCGUUAAACGGGGACCCCCCUGAGCGAUGAGCUACAACUCUAUGCACCAAUAUAUUGAUUUUCAUUGACCCAAUAUUUUUGAUCAACGAACCAAGUUACCCUAGGGAUAACAGCGCAAUCCGCUUCAAGAGCCCCUAUCGACAAGCGGGUUUACGACCUCGAUGUUGGAUCAGGGUACCCCAGUGGUGCAGCCGCUACUAAAGGUUCGUUUGUU